rnacentral:rRNA from 1 species
GCGCAGGCGGAGAUGUAAGCCAGACGUGAAAGCCCGGGGCUCAACCCCGGAAUUGCAUUUGGAACUACAUUUCUUGAGGAUAGGCGGAGAAAACGGAAUUCUGCAUGUAGCGGUGAAAUGCGUAGAUAUGCAGAAGAACACCGGUGGCGAAGGCGGUUUUCUAGCUUAUUCCUGACGCUGAGGCCCGAAAGCUAGGGGAGCGAACA